ACCUCCGUAAGAGAAAAUCCUGAGCGGUUACAGGAGCACCUUGUCUGCUUGUGUAGCCCAGAGAUGGAUGGGGGGGCGGGGCCAACGCAAUUCACGCGUUUCGCUUGUAAAGCUCGAUCAUGGUAGAUUCCUGUGACUUUCUUUUAAACUGCCAAUCAUUUACAAGCAAACCCAUGCCAAAACCAAUAUCAGAGUUCAGCCUGCAACUCGCACCUCUGGCCAACUCGGACAGCAUUACUUCUGGCCUUGUGUCUGUCAAAAUGUUCCCAGUAAAAAAAAUUACAAUGUUAACAUUCUGAAUGUCAGUAUAACGAAUGCAUAACGUUCCUUUCAUAAUGUGGCAAAAUCACUGCGUUUUAGCAGAGGUUUGCCAGGACAUGGACUGAGGACUGCAGGUAACAGCAUGCUCCAAAUAUGGCAGGGACUGCUGAAAAGAUGACACCACCAUCAUUGGCUUAAUCAAGGACGAAGACCAAUCUGCCUACAGACGCGAAGUGGAACGGCUAACACAGUGGUGCAGCAGGAACAACCUUGACCUAAAUCCCCUCAAAACAGUUAAGAUGGUGGUGGACUUCAGAAGGAAAACCAAUGCCAUGCUACCCCUCGUAAUAGCCGACAACCUGGUUUCGUGGGUCACUCCUUCAAAUUCCUAGGGUCAAAAAUUUCCUGAGAACCCAAGAUAAGCACUGUCGUAAAGAAAGGCUCAUAAGUGGAAGUUCUCUCUGAGGCAACUCAGGAAAUUCAACAUCCCGCAGAAGCUGCUGCUCAUCUUCUACACAGUGAUCGUAGAACCAGUCCUAUGUUCCUCGAUCACAGUCUGGUAUGGAGUUGCCAAUGAGAGUGACAGAGGCAAAGGGUGGUGAGGACAGCUGAAAAGAUUGUUGGGGCUGACCUCCCUCCCGUCCAGGAAUCAUACCAAUCAAGGGUCAGGAAGCGAGCGGAGAAAAUCGUGGCAGAUAUGCAGCACCCAGGUCACAAACUGUUUGAACUGCUUCCAUCAGGCAUACGCUACAGAUUUGAAUUUAGGGAAAAAAGAGAAAUCACGCGGUGCUAGGUCUGGCGAGUACAGAACAUGUUCUAGCACUGCAAUCUGUUUCUCAGCCAAAAACUGCUUCAAAGAGAGAAUUGUGUGUGUUGUUCUGAAGGAGGAUGAAACCAUUUUUCCACAACUCUCACCACUUUCUUUUGAUUCUUUCACGUUAAGUUUCUAGAAAAUGUUUGUUGUAAUGUUGAUUCAUUCUGGUUCCCAGUCCGCCAAAAUAACACCCUUGACAUCAAAGAAAAUAAUUAACAUGGCAUUGAAUUUGGAUAA